CCCUUAGAUGUUCUGGGCCGCACGCGUGCUACACUGAGUGGAUCAGCGGGUCAGGUUGCGCGAAAGUGUUUCCUAAUCUUGAAAUCCGCUCGUGAUGGGGAUUGACGGUUGCAAUUUUCCGUCAUGAACGAGGAAUACCUUGUAAGCGCGGGUCAUCAUCCCGCGCUGAAUACGUCCCUGCCCGUUGUACACACCGCCCGUCGCUCCUACCGAUUGAGUGGUCCGGUGAGGCUUUGGGAUCUGAGCAAAAAGAGCGUUUCGCUCGUUUGGCUCGGAAAACUCAGUCGAACCUUAUCAUUUAGAGGAAGGAGAAGUCGUAACA
rnacentral:rRNA from 1 species